rnacentral:rRNA from 1 species
AUUGAACGCUGGCGGCAGGCUUAACACAUGCAAGUCGAGCGGAGAUGAGGUGCUUGCACCUUAUCUUAGCGGCGGACGGGUGAGUAAUGCUUAGGAAUCUGCCUACUAGUGGGGUACAACAUUCCGAAAGGAAUGCUAAUACCGCAUACGUCCUACGGGAGAAAGCAGGGGAUCUUCGGACCUGGCGCUAAUAGAUGAACCUAUGUCGGACUAGCUAGUUGGUGGGGUAAAGGCCAACCAAGGCGACGAUCUGUAGCGGGUCUGAGAGGAUCAUCCGGCACACUGGGACUGAGACACGGCCCAGACUCCUACGGGAGGCAGCAGUGGGGAAUAUUGGACAAUGGGGGGAACCCUGAUCCAGCCAUGCCGCGUGUGUGAAGAAGGCCUUAUGGUUGUAAAGCACUUUAAGCGAGGAGGAGGCUACUGAGACUAAUACUCUUGGAUAGUGGACGUUACUCGCAGAAUAAGCACCGGCUAACUCUGUGCCAGCCGCCGCCGUAA